rnacentral:lncRNA from 1 species
UGAUCACCGAGACCCUUAAAACUAUUCCUUACUUUCGUGUAUAACUUGUGGCUUUUAUCACAGAGAUGAAUUUUGUAGGCUUGUAUGUGUUGUCUCCUUGUGAUCACUUUUCCUAUUGGCUUGCAAAUCUCAUAAUCACCUCAGGAAUCAUUGUUACCUUUUGUUCCUUUUUAUGAAGCAGACAAAAUUUCUAUUCUGUCAGUUCUUUUCAUUUUAUGGUAUAAGUCUUGAUCGUGUGUUUCGAAAAUCAGGUCUUAAUACCUUAUUUUUGAAGCCUACAUUACUUCAUUCUUAUUGGCGUAAUAGCGCAUAUACUACUGGUUAGGACAGUUUUAGUCCUUUGCAGCCCAUGUAUUGCUGCAACAACUCCUUUAUUACUGAAAAUUUAGUAGGAUCACAGGUGACGAAACUCUUGGUAGGUACAUCUAGUCGUAGG